rnacentral:SRP_RNA from 1 species
GCCGGGCGUGGUGACUCACGCCUGUAAUCCCAGCACUUUGGGAGGCCGAGGCGGGUGGAUCACCUGAGGUCAGGAGUUUGAGACCAGCCUGGCCAACAUGGUGAAACCCCGUCUCUA